rnacentral:ncRNA from 1 species
GCAUAGACAACGGGGAGCCCGGUGAGGCCGGGCUGAGAGGAGGGCCGUCCAGCCCUCGACCCGCAGAACCUGAUCCGGGUAAUGCCGGCGGAGGGACGAUAACCUCAGGUUAA